rnacentral:rRNA from 1 species
AUUUGUCUGGUUAAUUCCGAUAACGAACGAGACCUUAACCUGCUAACUAGAUUCUUCUAUACUAUAGAUGAUAUCUUCUUAGAGGGACUAUGUAAUACAAAUACAUGGAAGUUUGAGGCAAUAACAGGUCAGUGAUGCCCUUAUAUGUCCUGGGCUGCACGCGUGCUACACUGAUGCAUACAACAAGUGCCUAACCAGACAUGGUAUGGCAAUCUCGAAUAUGCAUCGUGAUGGGGAUAGAUCUUUGCAAUUAUAGAUCUUGAACGAGGAAUUCCUAGUAAGUGCAAGUCAUCAUCUUGCAUUGAUUAUGUCCCUGCCCUUUGUACACACCGCCCGUCGCUCCUACCGAUACCGGGUGAUCCGGUGAACCUUUUGGACCUUAACUGGGAAGAUAAGUAAACCAUAUCACCUAGAGGAAGGAGAAGUCGUAACAAGGUUUCCGUAGGUGAACCUGCRGAAGGAUCA